GAUGAAGAACGUAGCGAAAUGCGAUAAGUAAUGUGAAUUGCAGAAUUCAGUGAAUCAUCGAAUCUUUGAACGCACAUUGCGCCCGCCAGUAUUCUGGCGGGCAUGCCUGUUCGAGCGUCAUUUCAACCAUCAAGCCCCAGGCUUGUGUUGGAGCCCUGCGGCUGCCGCAGCCUCCCAAAACCAGUGGCGGGCUCGCUAUCACACCGAGUGCAGUAGUUUACUCUUCGCUCAGGGCGUGUGGCGGGUGCUAGCCGUAAAACCCCCAACUUCUCAUGGUUGACCUCGGAUCAGGUAGGAAUACCCGCUGAACUUAAGCAUAUCAAUAAGCGGAGGA
rnacentral:misc_RNA from 1 species